rnacentral:rRNA from 1 species
AACGAACGCUGGCGGCAGGCCUAACACAUGCAAGUCGAACGCUCCAGCAAUGGAGAGUGGCAGACGGGUGAGUAACGCGUGGGAACCUUCCCUAUGGUUCGGAAUAGCUCAGGGAAACUUGAGGUAAUACCGGAUAAGCCCUUCGGGGGAAAGAUUUAUCGCCAUUGGAUGGGCCCGCGUAGGAUUAGCUAGUUGGUGAGGUAACGGCUCACCAAGGCGACGAUCCUUAGCUGGUCUGAGAGGAUGAUCAGCCACACUGGGACCGAGACA